CUGGUAAACAGAUAUGUAAAGGUAUAACUUUCUUAUCAGUCAAAUAUUGCAGUUGGGAUUUGUAGGUUUUACUAAUUGAUACUGAUCUAUUAGUGCUUUAAGCAAUUUUUGAAAAAAAAUUCUGUUGAAAGUGGAUCAGUCUGAGCACGACAGCACUCUUGAAGCCAAAAAGCAGUAGGGGGCGGGUACACUCUUGAUGGAGAUGAGAAAGAGGGAGAUUUGAAGAAAGACUGUUGGAAGAGAGAUGGCUGACAGACAUUACAAAAGAAGGGAAUAUCACUGGAAAAAGAGCACUGAAGGGAGGGCUGUGUUUGUUUGGGUUGAUUUUAUAUAUCCACAGUUUCUCUGAAAUUAUUUACUGCACUUUUGAAUGCUGGACAUUUUAAAUUUGACUUUUUAUUUUGUAGACUCUGCAAAUGCAGCAACACAGCUUGGAAGAACUGAAGACAGGGCUUUCACUGCGUGAAGAUUGUGUUCAUCCGUGGGUUUCAGAUGUUCAACAAUGGGCAGAAGAAAGUGACCGACAUGGGAGUGGUGAUAUGAGAAGGCUACAAGAGGAAAUAGAAGGUCAGCAUCAAAAGGCGUACACAGCGUCUGUACAGUCAAACAGAUAGCAACAAGCGGCGCCAUUCUUUGCG